AUACAGAGACCUCAAGCGUUAUCCGGAUUUAUUGGGCGUAAAGCGUAUGUAGGCGGGUGUGUUAGUCGUGGGUCAAAUUUCCGAGCUCAACUCGGGAGCUGCUUACGAAACGGCACAUCUAGAGAAAGUGAGAGAUGACUAGAACUCAUGGUGUAGUAGUGAAAUGCGUUGAUAUCAUGGGGAAUACCAAAGGCGAAGGCAGGUCAUUGGCACUUUUCUGACGCUGAGAUACGAAAGCGUGGGUAGCGAAUGGGAUUAGAUACCCCGGUAGUCC
rnacentral:rRNA from 1 species